rnacentral:rRNA from 1 species
GACGAACGCUGGCGGCGUGCCUAAUACAUGCAAGUCGAGCGAAUCAAUGGGAGCUUGCUCCCUGAGAUUAGCGGCGGACGGGUGAGUAACACGUGGGCAACCUGCCUGUAAGACUGGGAUAACUUCGGGAAACCGGAGCUAAUACCGGAUACGUUCUUUUCUCGCAUGAGGAGAGAUGGAAAGAUGGUUCUGCUAUCACUUACAGAUGGACCCGCGGCGCAUUAGCUAGUUGGUGAGGUAACGGCUCACCAAGGCGACGAUGCGUAGCCGACCUGAGAGGGUGAUCGGCCACACUGGGACUGAGACACGGCCCAGACUCCUACGGGAGGCAGCAGUAGGGAAUCUUCCGCAAUGGACGAAAGUCUGACGGAGCAACGCCGCGUGAGCGAAGAAGGCCUUCGGGUCGUAAAGCUCUGUUGUUAGGGAAGAACAAGUACGAGAGUAACUGCUCGUACCUUGACGGUACCUAACCAGAAAGCCACGGCUAACUACGUGCCAGCCGCCGCCGUAA